CCCGCUCCUCCCGCUCGCCAUCUCCCACCACUCGCCGCCGCUCCUCCGCCUCCUGCGCCAAGCGCGGCACCUCCUCCUCCUCGGCCUUCCUCCCCGACCACCGCCUCCUCAGGCAGGACCAUGGUCCCGUCUCUCCUCUUCGGUCGGCGCGGCGGCCAGGCUCCCGUCAGACGCCUGUACCCGGCUCCCCUCUGCGUUCGGCGCGGCGGCCCAGACCUCAUCUCACGGCCCUCUGGCAGGAAACCAUCCCUCUACGGCUCUACCUAGCUCGUGAUGACAAGUUAUUAGUAGGGGAAGCACCUACAAACCAUUGGAUAGUUGCGAGCAAUUGAAGACUGCAGGAUGGGUGAAGCAGAAGCUUAAUUAAGUUGAGGAUUGGCAUCCAACAUUUACCCCCUUCAUGGUCAGAGCCCUUCCAACACAACUUGGGGUGUCAGAUCUGUUUACUGGUAUUGUCGUAGUGUGCUUUUGUUGACAUAGCUGGAGCAGACAUGAAUGCAGAAGCGGAGAAAGUUUAAACUGAUACAGGAGUCCUAAAAAAGAUUCGAGAAGUAAUUGUUUUGAUUUUCGUCAUAAUUCUAGCAGAUGAACCCCUAUUGCACUACGUGUUUCUAUCCAACCCAUAAGUAGCACACCUCAACCGAAAUUUGGCUUUACGCCAAAUGAAACAAAUCACCUUGCGUUUGGAAGAUAACUGUACUCGAUGCUCAUGUGUGAUAUUUGUUGUCUGAUGAGGUACUUGGUUUUUGUAAUUACCAAAUAUCACUGGUGAUCGGUCAUGUAGUCUAGGCCCUGACAGAAAUGAUCUGUGAUCGUUUUGCGUAAGACUGAUUUACUCUUUCUCGUUUAUGGUUAUAUAUAGAUCAUAUAGGGCAAGGUUCUUUAAAGCAUGUUUACAGUUAGCUUAUGUGUGAUCAGCUACCAAAUUUCUGGUAAAUAAUAAAUGGAAUCCACAAUAUUAUAUCAUAUAUUUAUCUGUUUGCCCAAAUUAAUGUGUUUUUUCAUGUAUAUUC